rnacentral:lncRNA from 1 species
CCUGUUUCUUUCAUGCAUGCUUAAGAGUUAUCUGUCAGUCCUCGCCAGUGGAGGACAGUUAAACUGUGCAAACACACAUUGGCCAAGACCAGGGGCCAAAGGCUGACCUGUGCAACGUUUUUCCUAGUUGGAAGGAGACGCUGGAAGGGACCAAAGUCUGGCUGCAGGAAGAGCACAGGAGAGAAGAGAGAGCACAAUCAGCUGAUGAACCUCCGCUUUGCUCCGGAUCUCUUCUUCCGCGCUGGCGCCGCACAACGACGCGACGGGAGAGAUGGGCGCCCACGCCGGGUGCGCGGGAGGACGCGCCGCGGCUCGGGGA